UACUCGAUGACUGAAAGGUAAGUAUAGAUCUUUUAAAUCUAAUAUAGUAAUUUAACAUUUACUUCGAGUAA
rnacentral:tRNA from 2 species